UCCUUAAAAGAGGUGAGCUACCAGAUAAUGCUGUCCAUUUGUCCUUUUUGCUAAUUGGUAGCAUAAAUAUAGUCUACCACUGUCAUUCCAAUGUAUUAGAUUUUAGUUUGUAGUGCUAUACAAGGUUGCUUGGACAGAUAGUGCAUUGUUCCAUUUCAAGAAUGCUUAUUAUGCCUUUCCAUUUGUAGAUAUAAAAUUCAAGUUUGGUGCAAGUUCAUGAAUGAAAAGAAAUUCCCUAGUGAAUAUCACCAUCUUUUCAUUUUAUAACCAUCUGUUUAGUAAAUUUGAAGUCACAUAGCACUCUUGAACAGAAAUUCUGGGGGAGAAAUAUGAAUUAUUAAAAUUAAGAAUCAAAUACUGCUAUUUUUUUUUGUACAGAUUUUAUCAAACCUUAAUUCAACCCAAGCACACAAGGAUAGAUUAGUUCUAGCAUGUCUUGUAUCAAUGAGCACGUGCUUGCUUGUGUGUCUGUAUUUGAACCAUUUUCCUUUCUGCACUGGGGUCACAGUAAUUUUCUCCUUUUCUUCUUUAUAUUCAAUGUUAUAAAGUGUCUUCUUACCCACACAUUUUCAUGUAAUGAGGUAACUUAUCAAAAGGUUCUGUUGAUACUUGUUAUGUUUAGGAUUAUGAUGUGAGUUGCACAAGCCUGAUUGUCCACAUUCACAUUUUUAAGUUCUAGUGUUUGCUUAAGCUUUGUAUAUCUCACUUCCUCAGUUCCUCUCUUUCUUCUUCUUAUUCUUCUCCUUUUCUUUUUCAUUUUUCCCCUAAUAAAAUCUUUUUAGGCCCCAUGCUUCUUAUCUGAUUUGAUAUUUCUCACGCUCUAUCUUUUUCUUUUUCUCUCUCUCUUCUUUUAAUAUUGUCCCCUCCCCCCCUCUUCCCCCUCCAAAAACAUUCUGUUUCAAACCCUAAUUUCCCGUCCGUACGCCACUUUCCUGCUAAAUCUACCAGCGCGUCUCAUUUCGAUUAAUCACUUUUCUUUUUGAGGUUCGUCGAUCAUUCGAUCAUCGCCAUCAGAUCAAUUUUUCGGUUUAUUAAUCGUUUGUUGUGGAUUUUGAGGGGGAGAUCGGGGUUUAGGUUACGGAUUCGGAUCCGAGGGGAAAAUAUGAGUAAUCAGAAGAAGAGAAACUUUCAGAUAGAGGCGUUUAAGCACCGGGUCGUGGUGGAUCCAAAAUACGCUGAUAAGACCUGGAAGAUUCUGGAACAUGCUAUCCAUGAGAUUUACAAUCACAACGCUAGUGGCCUUAGUUUUGAAGAGCUUUAUAGGAAUGCCUAUAAUAUGGUGCUGCACAAAUUUGGUGAAAAGUUGUAUUCUGGUCUGGUUUCAACUAUGACUUCACAUCUUAAAGAAAUAUCAAAAUCUAUUGAGGCUGCUCAGGGAGAUUCAUUUUUGGAGGAGCUGAACAGGAAAUGGAAUGACCAUAACAAAGCGUUGCAAAUGAUAAGGGAUAUAUUGAUGUACAUGGAUAGAACGUAUAUUCCAAGCACUCAUAAAACUCCUGUUCAUGAGCUUGGAUUGAACUUGUGGAGGGAUAAUAUCAUACAUUCCAGCAAAAUUCAGACAAGGCUUCUAAAUACACUUCUUGAACUAGUACAUAGAGAACGGACCGGUGAAGUUAUAGACCGAGGGUUGAUGAGGAACAUAAUCAAGAUGCUUAUGGAUUUAGGUUCAUUGGUUUACCAAGAGGACUUUGAGAAGCCGUUUCUUGAGGUUUCUGCUGAGUUCUAUAAGGUUGAAUCACAGGAGUUCAUUGAAUGCUGUGACUGUGGUGAGUAUUUGAAGAAAGCUGAGAAACGUUUGAAUGAAGAGAUAGAGCGAGUGACACACUACUUGGAUGCAAAGAGUGAAGUCAAGAUAACUAACGUGGUUGAGAAGGAAAUGAUUGCUAACCACAUGUUGAGUUUAGUUCACAUGGAGAAUUCAGGCCUGGUAAAUAUGCUUCUUGAUGAUAAAUAUGAGGACUUGGGAAGAAUGUAUAACUUGUUUCGUCGGGUUCCUAAUGGUCUUCUAACAAUACGAGAAGUGAUGACUUCCCACCUAAGGGAGACUGGUAAGCAGCUAGUUACUGAUCCAGAAAGGUUGAAGGAUCCAGUGGAAUUUGUUCAGCGUUUGUUGGAUGAAAAAGAUAAAUACGAUAGCAUCAUAAGUUUGGCAUUCAGCAAUGACAAGACAUUCCAGAAUGCUUUGAAUUCCUCUUUUGAAUAUUUUAUUAAUUUGAAUGCUCGCUCUCCUGAAUUCAUUUCAUUGUUUGUGGAUGACAAGCUUAGAAAAGGUCUAAAGGGAGUUAGUGAGGAGGAUGUGGAGGUUAUUCUUGACAAGGUGAUGAUGCUGUUCCGCUACUUGCAGGAGAAGGAUGUAUUUGAGAAGUAUUAUAAACAGCAUUUGGCUAAGCGACUGUUAUCAGGAAAAACUGUCUCUGACGAUGCAGAGAGAAGUUUGAUAGUCAAACUCAAGACUGAAUGUGGAUAUCAAUUCACCUCGAAAUUAGAAGGCAUGUUUACUGACAUGAAGACCUCCCAGGAUACUAUGCAAGGGUUUUAUGCAAGCCAUCCUGAGCUAGGAGAUGGACCUACACUGGUUGUCCAGGUUUUGACAACAGGAUCUUGGCCAACUCAGCCUAAUGUUACUUGCAACUUGCCUGCUGAAAUGUCAGCACUAUGUGAGAAGUUCAGGUCAUAUUACCUUGGUACCCAUACCGGUCGGAGACUGUCCUGGCAAACUAACAUGGGCACAGCAGACGUUAAAGCAACUUUUGGGAAGGGUCAGAAACAUGAGUUGAAUGUAUCUACAUACCAAAUGUGUGUUCUCAUGCUGUUCAAUAAUGCUGACCGGCUUAGCUACAAGGAGAUUGAGCAGGCAACAGAGAUUCCUGCUUCAGACCUAAAGAGGUGCCUGCAAUCCAUGGCAUGUGUAAAAGGGAAAAAUGUACUUCGGAAAGAGCCCAUGAGCAAAGACAUUGGUGAGGAAGAUGCAUUUUUUGUCAAUGACAAGUUCACAAGCAAAUUCUACAAGGUGAAGAUAGGAACUGUAGUUGCACAAAAGGAAUCAGAACCUGAAAAGCAGGAGACUCGGCAGAGAGUGGAGGAGGACAGAAAGCCUCAGAUUGAAGCAGCAAUAGUUAGGAUCAUGAAAUCAAGGAGGGUUUUGGACCACAACAAUAUAAUUGCCGAGGUCACAAAGCAGUUGCAGUCACGAUUUCUGGCCAACCCCACGGAGAUUAAGAAACGUAUUGAGUCUCUUAUUGAACGAGAUUUCUUGGAGAGGGAUACCAUUGACAGAAAAUUGUAUCGUUAUCUUGCUUGAAGGGAUAGCUUGAGCAGGUGACUCUUUUUUCUUCUUGUGGGAUGGUUUAAGCAUUGCCAAUUGGACUUGUACCUUGGUAAGUGGAAAAUUGUUAUAGUUCCGCAAGUUUAUUGGAUUUUAAUGAAUACCAUUUAUUUCUGCUUUCAUUAUUGCCUGCAAUGCUGUUAACUGGCCUGAAAAUUUUGGCCAAAUGUAUAAUGUUUCUUCCUUGGCCGUUUUCCUAAUUCAAAAGGAUGUCAAUAAUUAGAUGACUGCAGUGCUUGUAGUAUUAGUAGUGGAGAUAGCAGGGGGGGCGUGUCCAUUCAUAUUUGGUUCAACUGAAUAUUGACAGGUGCAAUAUUUUAUGUUCAUCAUUUAGAAAUUUUCAUGAAAGAGCUGUAUUAGAUUUCUUGAAGAUUGCAUCUUGAUUUUUGAUUUGACUACAAAGAGAGGCUAUGUCUUUGAUUUGACCACCAGGGGAACGUAUUAUUUUUGGCAAAUUUGAAGCCUUUCUUCUGUGUCUUAGCAGGAGUUGCCUAUGUAAAAUUUUGUACAGGCGUUGCAUGUGCCUGAAUUGUGUAAGCUUUAUAUUUCAGAAUGUGUUAGUUCGAAGUGAUUAAUAUUGAUGCUCUUGGAUUCUGGUAUCGCUUAUUCCUUUGCUUCUUCAUCCGGCUGAUAGCGAGGUAUCCAGAUGUCGAUUUGCGUAUCUUACCAUGUAAGAUUAUUAGAAAUGUGUGAAUAUUAUAUUUCCCUAGCCAAAUAUAGCAUUAGCUUGGAUCCCUUAUGUUAGCAAAAAGGAUCAUGGACAUUUUAAUGAUGUAGUUGCAUAAUUAGUCUGCACGACGAGUAUUAGUGUUAUUUUCAUGUACAUGAUUGGUGAUGUCUUUUAAAAGGGCCGCGGCCGCCUAUGGCAAUUGGGGGUAAAUUGUAUUUAUUGUUGGUUAUUUUAUUUUCG
rnacentral:misc_RNA from 1 species